GGCUCAUACAGUAUGGCUUUCAAAUUUAUCACUGAACAUACACUAUACACGAAACCUCUGUUCCAAGCAGACUGAAAACUUCAUUGUUGCUCUAGGAUGGGGAGAUGGGGUGCUUUCCUAUCUGGGUGCCUUUGUUCAUACUAGUUUUCCUUCUCAGACAUUCCCUUUCUUAUUCCUUUCUGCAAUAGGAAUUGUUCUCAUUUUUUUUAGUCUGCUAAAAUCCAUUCAUUUCUCUCCCUGUCCCUGAUUCCCACAGCCCACCUGACAGCUCUUAAUCACUAUGUAGGUACUAUGACUAAUUCACCAUCAACAUUCAGGUCUGGCUGUGCUUUGGCUAAUAAUACAUUUGGCACUUACCACAAAUGGCCUAACAGUGUUAGGGUGCAUUUUUCUCUUGCUUUCCCAUCUAGAUUAAAACCUUAAAAGCAAGGACAGAGUCUUACCCAUAUGUGGAUCCUCAUUGCUUACCAGUCUGUAUUCCCAUAUUCUCUUGUUCAAACCAUCAGUAAGAUAUUGAUAUCACUUAAUAGUGAUUUAUAUUUCUGUCUUUGCAGGCAAGCUAUGAAUUUCGUGAUUUAAAAUACUGUCUUUGUUUCUCUAGUGGCCAGCUCAGUACCUGGCAUAUGGUAGACACUCAAUAAAUGUUUGGUGGAAGAAUGAAUGCAGGCAGGGUGUACACUGAAGAUGGCAGCUGCUGUGAGAAGGUUGUCCUGAGCAUCCGUUGCCCAACAUGUGAGUGCCAUUCCUUGGGGCAUUUCCACCACUGCAGCCCUCAGGCCUGAUGCACCUGGAAGAAUGAGCUUGACAAACAUAUUGUGCUCUGGUUCCCGUCAAGCAAAAUUCUUCAGCACCAGUUCCUCAUACCAUGCACCUGCUGUCACCCAGCAUUCGUCCUGUUUUAAGGGUACAGCUGUUGUCAAUGGAGAGUUCAAAGACCUAAGCCUUGAUGACUUGGAGGAAGUAUUUGGUGCUUUUCUUCUAUCCUUUGGAUUUCACCUUUGCGUGUCCUACAGAAAUUGUUGCUUUUAGUGACAAAGCUAAGGAAUUUCACAAUGUGAACUGAGACGUUGUUGCAGUCUCAGUGAGUUCCCACUUUAGCCAUCUUGCCUGGAUAAAUACACCAAGAAAGAAUGGUGGUAUGGGCCACAUGAACAUUACAGUCUUGUCAGAUUUAACUAAGCAAAUUUUCUGAGACUACGGUGUACUGGUAGUGUCCUGGUCUCACACUAAGAGGUCUCUUCGUAAUUGACCCCAGUGGAGUCAUCAAGCACUUAAGUGUCAAUAAUCUCCCAGUGGGCCGAAGCAUGAAAGAAAUCCUCUGCUUGGUGAAGGCACUCCAGUAUGUAGAAGCCUAUGGAGAAGUCUGCCCAGCAAACUGGAUGCUGGAUUCUCCUGCAAUCAAGCCAAAUCCAGCUGCUUCCAGAGUAUUUUUAGAAGGCAAAUCAGUAGACCACCCAUGUGUAUCUGCACCUUUUCACCCCAAAGAAGAACCAGAGUUGAAAUCUGCUUUUAUCAUUUUAGAGAUGGUUAUUUGUAGAAGGCAAGGAACCAAUUACGCUUGUAUUCAUAAAUACUACUCUAAAUGUUUCGUUUUGUAAUACUGGCUAAGACCUUUUAAACAUGAUUAGUUGCUAGUAUAAGGAAUCCUUUAUCGGUAACAUCUUGGUGGCUAGCUAGCUAGUUUCUACAGAACAUAAUUUGCCUCUAUAGAAGGCGAUUCUUAGAGCAUGUCUUCAAUGGAAACACUCUUCUGUCUUAGCCUUACUUGAAUCUUACCUAUAACAAAGUAGAGCAAUAUGCAUUGAAAGCUUCUGAUCAGGGGUACUGAAAUUUCCAUCUUGAAUGUCUUUGGGUUAAACUGAAUUUUCCUUUAAGCUAACAAAGAUCACACUUUUCAGUUAUUACCAGGCAUCUAACUCCUGCAAUGAAUGUUUAUGUGAUUGAAGCAAAUGUAAAUCAUAUUAUUUUAAAAAGUGGCAGAAUAACUUAACUGAUCAUGCAUCAUACCUCCUCCCUGAAAUUUAUAGUUUACAUAGUCAUUUUACUUAUUUAAUUCAUUAGCUAACUUUGUGUACUUAUAGUUCUAGAUAUUGAUUAGUGUGAUUGAUUAUAAAGGAUAUUUAUUGAAUCCAGGGAUUGCGUUUUGAAAUCAUAAUUAUUUUCUUUGCUGAAGUGUGCAAUGUAAAAUAUAUAAUACAAAUAAACACAUUUUAAAA